GACGGGGCGCUCGCCCCACCUGUGCCAGGAGCUCCGGCCGCGAGGGUGCAGGGAGCCCCGCCGGCUGGGUCGCCCGAAGGGCGUUGCGGGGCUCCGGGCGGGGCCGACCCGGGGGGCUCCGUCUGGCCCCACCAGCCUUGCGCCUUUUUCGCUCGGUCUCCUUGGCCUCCCGCUCCUGCGACGCCGCUUUCCUUUUCUCUUGCUCCCGAGCUCGGACCUCGGCCAGGGGCCCCGCCCGCCAGUUGGUCGCCUCCUGCAGCACCCUGGAGGCCCAGGGCCGGCGGGGCGGCGGCUGUGGGGAUCCCGGGCGCGGCCCACACCUGGGACAAUGAGCAGGAACCCAGGAAAUGUGACUUCACUGGAUGCAUUACAAAGAUCUUCAGAUGUCCUCCUGCCAGGGAUUACAGGGAUCACAGUCAGACCACCGAGGUCCAGUAGCAACCUGCAAGCGGAGAUCCCUCUGGACGUCCCCUGCCUCACCCAGCAAAGCUGGAUCACAGCCCUGCCCUCUCAAGCAAACCUCUGAAAGGGCUUGAGGUGCUAAGAGGAAAGGAGGCCCGAGAUUGCCAUGGCAUACGUGGGCUCGCUCCAAGGAGCGAGCCAGGAGUCACUGCCUGCUCGGGCUAAGGGUACCGCGUAAGGAAAGGCGGCGGGGGCGCGGCCCAGUCCUAGGAUACGCGCCCAGCGAAGAAGUGGAGGGACAGGGUCACGGGAUAGGGCAGACACCCGGCUGCUUCUUGUUUGCUAGACACCAGCGCCAGCCCCUGCCCGGCCCUCCCGGUCUCCUAACGGGGGUCUUAGGCUCCACAGCGCCCCCGACCGCCCUCCGGCACUCCUCACCGUCUCCAUUGCAAGACGCGCCGGCUUGGUUCUCUCGCUUUAGGAAGCUCUCUUGGGGCAGGCCCCGCCCCACAUCCGGUGCGGCAACGCCACAUCCGCCCACGUCACGGCAGUCGCCAGACUAGGGCGGAAGACGGAGAACCCACCCUUCCGGCGGUGGCGGGCCUCGGUAACCGCCCUCCCCCGUUCCUCGCAGACCGCACGGAUCCCGCUGAUGGCAAGGGUCACGGGACGGAGUCGCUUGUAUUUAAAAUGUUCUUUUUUUAUUUGUUGUUUAAAAACAAACUCGGAAGAAGCAAAAUCCAAAACUUGCCCUUUGCCUCUCGCAACAUAAAUUAUGUACAGUUCAGAAUGAUCGCUGAUACAAAACAUGCCAAGGACAGGGGCGCUGAGGGUGGAGGGAGAGAGGGCGCUUUAAAAAAGGGAACCAUUUCAUCCGUUGUUACGAAGGACCAACCUUGCUGUACAGGAUACACACAACACAAAAUAAAGUUUUCACGGGAUUCACACUUGUCAGCGAUUUAUUUUUUAAAAAGGGGGGAGGGUCCUGGAGGUGAGGGGAGAAGACUGUAAAGGGGAAAACUGAAAAUUGAGUAUGUGCGAGUGUAAACCAACCCAAAAUACAAACAUGGGGGGUGGAGGAUUUUGAUGCAAUUAUACAGGCAGGG